UACGUAGGGUGCAAGCGUUAAUCGGAAUUACUGGGCGUAAAGCGUGCGCAGGCGGCUUUGCAAGACAGAUGUGAAAUCCCCGGGCUCAACCUGGGAACUGCAUUUGUGACUGCAAAGCUGGAGUACGGCAGAGGGGGAUGGAAUUCCGCGUGUAGCAGUGAAAUGCGUAGAUAUGCGGAGGAACACCGAUGGCGAAGGCAAUCCCCUGGGCUUGUACUGACGCUCAUGCACGAAAGCGUGGGGAGCAAACAGG
rnacentral:rRNA from 1 species